GUAAGGAAUAUUGGACAAUGGACGCAAGUCUGAUCCAGCCAUGCCGCGUGAAGGAUUAAGGUCCUCUGGAUUGUAAACUUCUUUUAUAAGGGACGAAAAAAGGCUUUUCUAAGUCGUCUGACGGUACCUUAUGAAUAAGCACCGGCUAACUCCGUGCCAGCAGCCGCGGUAAUACGGAGGGUGCAAGCGUUAUCCGGAUUCACUGGGUUUAAAGGGUGCGUAGGCGGGCAGGUAAGUCAGUGGUGAAAUCCUAGAGCUUAACUCUAGAACUGCCAUUGAUACUAUCUGUCUUGAAUAUUGUGGAGGUAAGCGGAAUAUGUCAUGUAGCGGUGAAAUGCGUAGAUAUGACAUAGAACACCUAUUGCGAAGGCAGCUUACUACGCAUAUAUUGACGCUGAGGCACGAAAGCGUGGGGAUCAAACAGGAUUAGAUACCCGUGUAGUCC
rnacentral:rRNA from 1 species